UACGAAGGGGGGCUAGCGUUGCUCGGAAUCACUGGGCGUAAAGGGUGCGUAGGCGGGUCUUUAAGUCAGGGGUGAAAUCCCGGAGCUCAACUCCGGAACUGCCCUUGAUACUCCCGCGCUUGAGAACUGGAGGGGACAUCGGAAUUCACGGUGGAGCAGUGAAAUGCGUGGAUAUCGUGAGGAACACUAGUGGCGAAGGCGGAUGUCUGGACAGUAUCUGACGCUGAGGCACGAAGGCCAGGGGGAGCGAACGGGG
rnacentral:rRNA from 1 species